GGGUUCCGUCGCCGGCGAACGGGGCGAGAGUCGCUGCCGGCAGCUCGAUGACGACUUUCCCGUGGCAGGGCCAACGGUUCUUCUGCUCGGAGCCUU
rnacentral:tRNA from 1 species